GAUGAACGCUGGCGGCGUGCCUAAUACAUGCAAGUCGAGCGAACAGACGAGGAGCUUGCGCCUCUGACGUUAGCGGCGGGCGGGUGAGUAACACGUGGAUAACCUCCCUAUAAGACUGGGAUAUCUUCGGGACACCGGAGCUAAUCCCGUAUAAUCUAUUGAACCGCAUGGUUCAUUGGUGAAAGACGGUUUUGCGGUCACUUAUAGAGGGAUCCGCGCCGAAUGAGCUAGUUGGUAAGGUAACGGCUUACCAAGGCAACCAGGCGUAGCCGACCUGCGAGGGUGAUAGGCCACCUUAGAACUGAACCGCGGACCAGACGCCUACGGGAGGGAGCAGACGGGAACCUUACGCAAUGGGCGAAAGCCUGACGCAGCAACGCCGAGUCAGUGACGGAGGCCCCCGGAGCGUAAAAAUCUGUUAUUAGUGAAGAACCAAUGUGUAAGUAACUAUGCACGUCUUGACGGUACCUAAUCAGAAAGCCACGGCUAACUACGUG
rnacentral:rRNA from 1 species